rnacentral:rRNA from 1 species
GAUGAACGCUGGCGGCGUGCCUAAUACAUGCAAGUCGAGCGAACAGACGAGGAGCUUGCUCCUCUGACGUUAGCGGCGGACGGGUGAGUAGCACGUGGAUAACCUACCUAUAAGACUGGGAUAACUUCGGGAAACCGGAGCUAAUACCGGAUAAUAUAUUGAACCGCAUGGUUCAAUAGUGAAAGACGGUUUUGCUGUCACUUAUAGAUGGAUCCGCGCCGCAUUAGCUAGUUGGUAAGGUAACGGCUUACCAAGGCAACGAUGCUUAGCCGACCUGAGCGGGUGAUCGGCCACACUGGAACUGAGACACGGUCCAGACUCCUACGGGAGGCAGCAGUAGGGAAUCUUCCGCAAUGGGCGAAAGCCUGACGGAGCAACGCCGCGGGAGUGAUGAAGGUCUUCGGAUCGUAAAACUCUGUUAUUAGGGAAGAACAAAUGUGUAAGUAACUGUGCACGUAUUGACGGUACCUAAUCAGAAAGCCACGGCUAACUACGUG